rnacentral:rRNA from 1 species
GACGAACGCUGGCGGCGUGCUUAACACAUGCAAGUCGAGCGGAAAGACCAUGCGUUUGUGGCGUUCUCGAUUGGCGAAGGCGUGAGUAUCACGCGAGUAUCAUGCACCUAUCAUUGUGAUAACAUCACGGGACUCGGGCUAAUACACGGGAGGAGCUACUGCAGCACAUGGGGGGUUGGAGAGUUUCGGCUGUGGGGGAUGGUCUCGCGGGUUAUCAGCUGCUUUGUGUGGUAGUGGCUUACAAAGGCUUUGAAGGGUAGGCGACCUGGGAGCGUGACCGGCCACAUUAGGACUGAGAUACGGACCAGAAUCCUACGGGCGGCAGCAGUGGGGAAUCUUGCACAAUGGGGGGACGCCAGAUGCAGCAACGCCGCGUGCGGGAUGACGGCCUUCGGGUUGUAAACAGAUUUCGACUGUGACGAAGCGUGAGUGACGGUAAUGGGUAAAGAAGCACCGGCUAACUACGUG